rnacentral:rRNA from 1 species
GUGUCAGCAGCCGCGGUAAUACGUAGGGGGCGAGCGUUGUCCGGAUUCAUUGGGCGUAAAGAGCUCGUAGGCGGUUUCGUAAGUCGGGUGUGAAAACCCCAGGCUCAACCUGGGGACGCCACCUGAUACUGCGAUGACUUGAGUCUGGUAGGGGAUCACGGAAUUCCUGGUGUAGCGGUGAAAUGCGCAGAUAUCAGGAGGAACACCGGUGGCGAAGGCGGUGAUCUGGGCCAGUACUGACGCUGAGGAGCGAAAGCGUGGGUAGCAAACAGGAUUAGAUACCCUGGUAGUCCACGCCGUAAACGUUGGGCACUAGGUGUGGGGGGACGUCAACUCCUUCCGUGCCGCAGCUAACGCAGUAAGUGCCCCGCCUGGGGAGUACGGCCGCAAGGCUAAA